rnacentral:rRNA from 1 species
GACGAACGCUGGCGGCGUGCUUAACACAUGCAAGUCGAACGGUAAGGCCCUUCGGGGUACACGAGUGGCGAACGGGUGAGUAACACGUGAGUAACCUGCCCCAGUCUCUGGGAUAACCGCCGGAAACGGCGGCUAAUACUGGAUAUUCAGCGUCUGCCGCAUGGUGGGUGUUGGAAAGCUCCGGCGGAUUGGGAUGGGCUCGCGGCCUAUCAGCUUGUUGGUGAGGUAGUGGCUCACCAAGGCUUCGACGGGUAGCCGGCCUGAGAGGGCGACCGGGCCACAUUGGGACUGAGAUACGGCCCAA